UACGGAGGGUGCAAGCGUUGUCCGGAAUCAUUGGGCGUAAAGCGCGCGUAGGCGGCUUCGCAAGUCGGCCGUGAAAUCUCCGGGCUCAACUCGGAGGGGUCGGGCGAGACUGCGAGGCUCGAGGUGGGCAGAGGGCAGUGGAAUUCCGGGUGUAGUGGUGGAAUGCGUAGAGAUCGGGAAGAACACCAGUGGCGAAGGCGACGUGCUGGGUUGCACCUGACGCUGAGAUGCGAAAGUGUGGGGAGCAAACAGG
rnacentral:rRNA from 1 species